AAAAAUUGGAGCAAGACUUUCUCUCUCUCUCUAUAUAUAUAUUAUAUAUAUCUGGGAUAUUUUAUUUAUUAGAACUAUCAGAUCAUCAUGAUACAUCUUUGGUAACAUUAAGUGAUCUAUUAUGAUUCAUCAUUAUCAGCUGAUGCGUCAGUAUCUUUAUCUUCUCUUGUUAUUUGGACAUUUUUAUUAUCUUCAGUAUAGGAUGAUGUGGUUGCCUGUUGAAUGAUAAUUGUAUUAACAUUGGACGUCUGGAACUGGAGCUGAUGGUUCACCAUAAGUUUCAUGAAGUGCUUCCAACCUCGUGCUAAGAGCAGAACCUCUUCUACUAGUAGCAUUCAUCUUUUUCAUCAACCAUUCGGCUUGUUCUUCCAAACGUUUUAAUCUGUCAGCUCGUGCUGUCAAAACUUGUUCAGGAUUAAUUCCUUCAAGUGAAUAUAAGUCUUGCUAACCGAUAUCACCAAUUUCGGACCACUUGGCGUGUCUACAGAUUUGUAACAACUGUUGGAAUCGGAGGAAGACGUUGCCGAAGCAUUUUGCGAGGCAGCAGCGUGACAACUUAAUAACUCCAACAAAACGCGCCAUACCUGCGUAUCGACAAGCGUAUUGCGAUAGGAUUGAUCGUAAACGAUAAGAGAGGGAAAGAAAGAAGAGAGAAAAGAGAAACAAAAUUGAUAUAUUCAUAUAUCAUGUCGUCAAAAAACCUUUGAUCUAGCAAGAGUUUUGGAAGUGCAGCAGCUUCGGUGCCAUUGUCCCUCGCUAUGUCAGUUAUGAGAUCACGAUUUUCCUAAAUAAAAGAUCAUUGAACAUGAUUAUUUAUAAGAAGAAAAAAAAAGAAGGUGGAGAUAAUCGUACCUGCAAUAACUGUGACAAUCUAUCAAGAUCCAUGUCGGCCGAAGAAGCUCCCAAAAGCAUUUGAGUGAACAAGCUGUUGAUCAGGGACAUUUGAUUUUGUAGAUCUCUACAGUCUGCUUUGGUCAAACCCAAUUGAGACUCCAGAUUCGAGAUCUCCGUAUCUUGCGCAUCGAUCUGUCGAGAACAAAGGAGAAAGUGUCGGAUAGAGUCCCUCCAACUGUGCCAAGGCCGUUGUAUGAGCAUUAGCCAAUUGUUGAUUAGCUUUAGCUAAUUGUAAAAUGAUCUGCGAAAGCUCCAUAUUUUCACGAUGCUGCAACCUCAACGAAGAAUUGUUAGGUUCUCCAACUGUUCUCCAAUCGGUCGUGCGUGUUGCAUAAGUCAUCUGUAAAGAUUGAUUGAACGUAUGAAAUGAUUAGGAAAUGAUGGAUUUUAAACUGAAAGAAAAUUGAUAUGACCGGAAGGAUUUUAUAUGAUCGUGGUAGUCAGAGGUAUUUCCCAAGUAUGCACGUAUAGAAACUACGAUAGUUUUUGGAUAUAAGCCAACCUGUCUGUCCAACUAUGGCGAUAGAAUGAGAAACACGUGUAAACCUGUGCACGAGGUUCCCCAGCAAUGUUGUAACCAGUAGUUCUCACUGGAUCUUCAUUGACACCGUCGACGCAAUGAAAAGUAGUAUCCUCGGCGAAGUUAACUUCGAUUGGAUUUUCAGUGUUCCUUGUUCUCGUAGGAACCGACGACGAAGAAGAAGAAGAUGGCAAAAUAUUACUAAGUGUUAGAUGACACAAGAGAAAAAGAGAACAAAAAAUAGAUAGGAAGAUAGAAAGAAAACGAAAAAAGAAAAAAGAUGGAGUACGGCCAAGAGGAUCCAAAUCGGAAUAAAAGGAUCUGUUAAAUGAAAGCAGAGCGAGCGAGAUUAUCGUGAGCUACUUCAAAGGCAUCUAUUGACGUCGCAAGCAAAAAAGAAGAACAACAAUGUUUCGCUGAUAAUCGAUCUACCCAACAUUUGCACUAUCUAUGAUUGUAAAUAACAAAUAACUGCAGAGAAAUGUUAUAAAAUGAAUGAUGUAUGUAUAUGUAUGUACAUAUAUAUAUGUGUGUACGUAUAUAUGUAUAGUAUAUGUAGCAACACGCUUGCUGAUUAUACAGAUGAUUUGCAUAAAAUCAUUCUCGUUAUAUUUGCAUUAUCAUGUUGAAAGCAUUCAACAAUAUAAACUGUAUAAGAGUCUUUCGAAUACGAAGCGUCAUGUGAGUGCAUCCAAGAAUAGCUUGAUUCACGUUUGAAAACAGAGAUAAAAUUAACUAUUCUAGACGAACAAUUGAAAACAAAGAGAUCCAUGGAUCAGUCGGAAAAAUAUGUUGGCAAAACGUUAAGUAUCAUCGAUUCGAAUGAUCGGUUAGAAGUUAUUGGUUUAGAAAGCGAAGAAGCGUGAUCUCCGAGUGCGCCAGCGAAAGAGCUUUUUUUAGCCUGAAUUUGGCUCGGUUCUUAGACACCGAAGAAGAGAGAGAAAGAGGAGAGAGGAAGAGAGAGAGAGAGAGAGAGAGAGAGAGAGAGAGAGAGAGAGAGAGAGAGAGAGAGAAAAAAAAAAGAAAAAAAGAAAGACAAUCCUUCCUGAGUGAAAGAGAAGAAGCUUAAAAGAAGCUUAAAAUGUUCAAAACUAUUCUAAAACGUGAUUGUCCAACCUGAGAACAAUACAGCUUUUAAAAGAAAAAUCGUAUAUAUGAUAAAAAAAGAAGCUUGAAAAAAGAACGACACGACACGUGUAAGAAGAUUCUUUUCGAUGUCGUUAGAAAAAAAAGGAAAAUUGUACAUAUAAAGAAAUGUACUUUUGUCAAGAACGACGGUCACUGAACGCGAGUACAAAGAAGGAUUAAAGAAAGACACGAGGUUAGUCACAUGAACCUUGAGUCAGUCGGAGAGUUAAUGUAUAUAGAAUUUAAGAACAAACGGAUGCGUAACGUUGUAACGUGGUGGGAUUGAAAUAUUCAUUAAAAUUUUUCAUUGAUAUAUAUAUAUAUGUGUGUGUGUGUAUGUAUGUAUUAAAUAGAAUCAUUGAAUAUAUAUAGAACUUUAAAAAAGUUUUUAAUUGUUUGUUCGAACAAAAUCGUUCGUGUUACUCACACA